UAACACGUGGGCAAUCUGCCCUUCACUCUGGGACAAGCCCUGGAAACGGGGUCUAAUACCGGAUACGAGGUUCGCAGGCAUCUGUGAACUUGGAAAGCUCCGGCGGUGAAGGAUGAGCCCGCGGCCUAUCAGCUUGUUGGUGAGGUAAUGGCUCACCAAGGCGACGACGGGUAGCCGGCCUGAGAGGGCGACCGGCCACACUGGGACUGACACACGGCCCACACUCCUACGGGAGGCAGCAGGGGGGAAUAUUGCACAGUGGGCGAAAGCCUGAUGCAGCCACCCCGCGUGAGGGAUGACGGCCUUCGGGUUGUAAACCUCUUUCAGCAGGAAAGAAGCGCAAGUGACGGUACCUGCAAAAGAAGCGCCGGCUAACUACGUGCCAGCAGCCGCGGUAAUACGUAGGGCGCAAGCGUUGUCCGGAAUUAUUGGGCGUAAAGAGCUCGUAGGCGGCUUGUCACGUCGAUUGUGAAAGCCCGAGGCUUAACCUCGGGUCUGCAGUCUAUACGGGCUAGCUAGAGUGUGGUAGGGGAGAUCGGAAUUCCUGGUGUAGCGGUGAAAUGCACAUAUAUCAGAGAGGAACACCGGUGGAGAAGGCAGAUCUCUGGGCCAUUACUGACUCUGAGGAGCAAAAGCGUGGGGAGCAAACAGGAUUAUAUACCAAAGCGUGGGGAGCGAACAGGAUUAGAUACCCUGGUAGUCCACGCCGUAAACGGUGGGAACUAGGUGUUGGCGACAUUCCACGUCGUCGGUGCCGCAGCUAACGCAUUAAGUUCCCCGCCUGGGGAGUACGGCCGCAAGGCUAAAACUCAAAGGAAUUGACGGGGGCCCGCACAAGCGGCGGAGCAUGUGGCUUAAUUCGACGCAACGCGAAGAACCUUACCAAGGCUUGACAUACACCGGAAACGUCUGGAGACAGGCGCCCCCUUGUGGUCGGUGUACAGGUGGUGCAUGGCUGUCGUCAGCUCGUGUCGUGAGAUGUUGGGUUAAGUCCCGCAACGAGCGCAACCCUUGUUCUGUGUUGCCAGCAUGCCCUUCGGGGUGAUGGGGACUCACAGGAGACCGCCGGGGUCAACUCGGAGGAAGGUGGGGACGACGUCAAGUCAUCAUGCCCCUUAUGUCUUGGGCUGCACACGUGCUACAAUGGCCGGUACAAAGAGCUGCGAUACCGUGAGGUGGAGCGAAUCUCAAAAAGCCGGUCUCAGUUCGGAUUG
rnacentral:rRNA from 1 species